GUCCCGAUAGUAUAAAUAUUACACUGGUCUUGUAAACCAGUAAUGAAAAUAAUUUUUUCUCAGGACA
rnacentral:tRNA from 1 species